AUUGAACGCUGGCGGCAGGCCUAACACAUGCAAGUCGAGCGGAUGAAGGGAGCUUGCUCCUGGAUUCAGCGGCGGACGGGUGAGUAAUGCCUAGGAAUCUGCCUGGUAGUGGGGGAUAACGUCCGGAAACGGGCGCUAAUACCUCAUACGUCCUGAGGGAGAAAGUGGGGGAUCUUCGGACCUCACGCUAUCAGAUGAGCCUAGGUCGGAUUAGCUAGUUGGUGGGGUAAAGGCCUACCAAGGCGACGAUCCGUAACUGGUCUGAGAGGAUGAUCAGUCACACUGGAACUGAGACACGGUCCAGACUCCUACGGGAGGCAGCAGUGGGGAAUAUUGGACAAUGGGCGAAAGCCUGAUCCAGCCAUGCCGCGUGUGUGAAGAAGGUCUUCGGAUUGUAAAGAACUUUAAGUUGGGAGGAAGGGCAGUAAGUUAAUAACUUGCUGUUUUGACGUUACCAACAGAAUAAGCACCGGCUAACUUCGUG
rnacentral:rRNA from 1 species